rnacentral:rRNA from 1 species
UACGGAGGAUCCGAGCGUUAUCCGGAUUUAUUGGGUUUAAAGGGUGCGCAGGCGGGAGAUUAAGUCGGCGGUGAAAUUUUGCAGCUUAACUGUAACAGUGCCGUUGAUACUGUUUGGCUAGGAUUUGGUUGUAGUGUGCGGAAUGUGUGGUGUAGCGGUGAAAUGCUUAGAUAUCACACAGAACACCGAUUGCGAAGGCAGCACACUAAGUCAUUAUUGACGCUGAGGCACGAAAGUGUGGGGAUCAAACAGGAUUAGA